GUUUGUUUGUUUAUUUAUUUAUUUUUAGGUGUAGAUGGACACAACACAAUGCCUUUAUUUAUUUAUUUUUUUAAUGUGGUGCUGAGGACCGAACCCAGGUCCCGCCCGUGCUAGGCAAGCGCUCUACCCCUGAGCCACAAUCCCAGCCCACUCAGAAAGUUUUUGAGCUGGGCAUGGUGGCAUACACCUAUAAUCCCCAAGGCUCAGGAGGCUGAAACAGAAGGAUCUUGAGUUCAAAUCCAGCUUCAGCAACAGUAAGGUGCUAAGCAACUAAGGGAGACCUUGAUUCUAAAUAGAAAAAAAAAAAAAAAAAAAGAAAGAAAGAAAAAGAAAAAAUAAAAAAAGAAAAGUUUUGGAUUUUGGAGCAUUUGAAAUUUUGGAUUUUCCCAUUAGGAACACUCAUCUCACACUCUUGACUAGUGUGCUCUUGAACUCUUAGGAAGAAAGAGCCUGUUAGCAUCACUUGCCAUAAAGAGACUGUUGGCAUCAUUCAGUGAGGUGAGAAAACUCAGGAAACAAGGAAGAAAAUCCCCAGAUCUGUAGCUAGGGAGCUCACAGUGCUUUUAGUUUCCAGAAUCUUGCAGAUCCUCCUUGCCUUUGUUUUCCCGCAGGGCCUUGUGGGACCAAUGUCACACAGUAGGUCAAGCUGAAGGAACUAGUAGAGUUGAAAUGUCUGCUGCAUGCAGGCCCAGGGCUGGCACUCUACGUUCUUUCUGUCACCUUGCCUGUCUGUCCAGUUCAUUUUUGCCCUCUCAGACUGAACCUGUUGGUGGCUGUUAGAUGUUUGAAUUCUAGGGGAAGAAGCCCCUGAUCUGGGGACACUGGCUUUGAGAGGACCAGGGAUUUUUUGGAGCCCGCAUCCUGCCUGGAACAGGAUGAGCGUGGGGAAGUACUCCCAGAACUCACAGGGAGUAUGAUCCGAAUGCUUCCUUCUUUCCCAGGGAGUUGGGUCAUCUACCCCAGAGCAGCGAGAUUCUUUAGACAACAAAGCACCUGUGGCUCUGACUGACUCACUGAAGCAGCUGCCCAGAGUGUGGGUGAUGGAUGAGGCAGGCGUCUGAGCUGCUGUGGAGAAGCUGGGAGUUGGGGGUAGGUGUUAUUCUCUUCCUUGAGCAGCUCCA
rnacentral:lncRNA from 1 species